CUUAUUAUAUGGAGGGGGUGGUGGAGAGCUGUAGAUGAAUGGACGAUGAAGAGCAGACUUGUAAACAUAUGGAGGGGGUGGUGGAGAGCUAUAGAUGAAUGGAAGAUGAAGGGCAGACUUGUAAACAUAUGGAGGGGGUGGUGGAGAGCUAUAGAUGAAUGGACGAUGAAGGGCAGACUUGUAAACAUAUGGAGGAGGUGGUGCAGAGCUGUAGAUGAAUGGACGAUGAAAGGUAGACUUGUAAACAUAUGGAGGCGGUGGUGGAGAGCUGUAGAUGAAUGGAAAAGGAGGAGGAGACUGAUAAACAUAUGGAGGGGAUGGUGGAGAGCUGUAGACGAAUGAAAGAGGAGGAGGAGAAAGAUAAACAUAUGGAGGUAGUGGUGGAGAGCUGUAGACGUAUGGAGGAGGUGGUGGUGGAGAGCUGUAGACGUAUGGAGGAGGUGGUGGUGGAGAGCUGUAGACGUAUGGAGGAGGUGGUGGUGGAGAGUUGUAGACGUAUGGAGGAGGUGGUGGGGAGCUAUAGAGGUAAGGAGCCGGUGGGGGAGACUUGU
rnacentral:lncRNA from 1 species